AGUGUGGCCCGUGGUGGGUCAGAGCGCUGCCUGGGCCAGCAGGCAGGGCAAACCCAACCUGGGCAGAGGCCUGAGCAGGCACCUUCCUGCAGCACUGGGGGAGGGGCAACCAGGAAACCCCAUCUUCACCCACUGUACCCUGUGCCAGCCUCCGUCCUGACCUUGCCUGGAGUUCCCCCAGUUGUCACCCCAAGCAAAGAUCAGGUGCUGUCAUCAAGCCUUAGAAGUUGUUUGAAAAGCUAAUCUUGCCUUAGAAGGCGCUGGGGCCGGUUUGAGAGAAGAUGGAUUAGAUGCCUGGAGGCACAGCAGCCAUCUCUCAACCAUGAGGCUAAAAGCCAGGUGCUGAGCGUGCUGGAGGACGAGGGGAGAGGGAGUCUGGCUGACCCGCUGAAGUAGCACCAACCCUUGACUGCCAGCUCAAGCUUCCUUUUCUCAAGAAGCCCAGUAGAAGCCCAGGAGAGAGGCCUCGGAAGAGACCAACCUUGAUCUCGGACUCCCAGCCUCCAGAAUCAUGAGAAAUAACUCUCUGUGGUUUCAGCCACCCAUCUGUGGCCCCUUGCUGCGGCAGCC